GGGGUUGUGGCUCAGCGGAAGAACCUCUGCUUCGCAUUCAGAAGGUCCUAGGUUCAAUCCCUGGCAUCUCCA
rnacentral:tRNA from 1 species